UUGAGUGCCGCGAGAGCCUUG
rnacentral:siRNA from 1 species